rnacentral:rRNA from 1 species
UACGAAGGGGGCUAGCGUUGCUCGGAAUCACUGGGCGUAAAGCGCGCGUAGGCGGACCUGCAAGUCGGGGGUGAAAGCCCGAGGCUCAACCUCGGAACUGCCUUCGAUACUGCGGGUCUCGAGUCCGGGAGAGGUGAGUGGAAUUCCUAGUGUAGAGGUGAAAUUCGUAGAUAUUCGGAGGAACACCAGUGGCGAAGGCGGCUCACUGGUCCAUUACUGACGCUGAGGUGCGAAAGCGUGGGGAGCAAACAGG